rnacentral:rRNA from 1 species
AACGAACGCUGGCGGCAUGCCUAACACAUGCAAGUCGAACGAGACCUCCGGGUCUAGUGGCGCACGGGUGCGUAACGCGUGGGAACCUGCCCUUAGGUUCGGAAUAACUCCCCGAAAGGGGUGCUAAUACCGGAUAAUGUCUUCGGACCAAAGAUUUAUCGCCUUUGGAUGGGCCCGCGUUGGAUUAGCUAGUUGGUAGGGUAAAAGCCUACCAAGGCGAGGAUCCAUAGCUGGUCUGAGAGGAUGAUCAGCCACACUGGGACUGAGACACGGCCCAGACUCCUACGGGAGGCAGCAGUGGGGAAUAUUGGACAAUGGGCGAAGGCCUGAUCCAGCAAUGCCGCGUGAGUGAUGAAGGCCUUAGGGUUGUAAAGCUCUUUUACCCGGGGUGAUAAUGACAGUACCGGGAGAAUAAGCACCGGCUAACUCCGUG